AUGCAGUUGGUGAGCAUAGAGCGUACAGAGGAGUAUUCCACCAACAUCCCGCAGGAGCCUCAAGAAGCCAGAACUCAGUUUAGAGGAGUGAUAUAUAUUUGGGUUGCCCUCUAUAGAUCAAAGCUAGCCAUUAUCCCUCAGGAUCCCUUGUUCUCCAGCACAGUGCAAGAGAACCUUGAUCCACAUGGCCUUCAUCUAGACUUCCGGUUGCUAGAUGCCCUUGAGCAAUGUAGAAAGAAAAUACUGUCUUUAAUGUUCUUUUUUUUUUUUUUUGCUUUGUCUGUGUCUCCCAUUACAGGUGGCCUGGAUUCGGAGGAUGGAAAGAGGGGAAGUCUCUGUCUGUGGGCCAGAGGCAGCUACUGUGUCUUGCCCGUGCUCUUCUUACAGAGCCUAAUAUUUUAUGCAUUUAUGCAAGACUGACAUGCAUCUGCAGAAAACUAUCAGAGAAAAAUUCAAAGAUAAAACUCACCCACGGAUAUCAAAUUGCUUGCAUAUUUGCAUAUGAUUUCUAUUUGAGUUUUCUUUUAUUUGAACUUUAAGUAUGGAAUGAAAAUAAAGAGGGAAAACCCCUUUAUAGCGAUGCA
ensembl:lncRNA